rnacentral:rRNA from 1 species
UGUAAACGAUGUCGAUUUGGAGUUUGUGCCCUAGAGUGAUGGGCUCCGAAGCUAACGCGAUAAAUCGACCGCCUGGGGAGUACGGCCGCAAGGUUAAAACUCAAAUGAAUUGACGGGGGCCCGCACAAGCGGUGGAGCAUGUGGUUUAAUUCGAUGCAACGCGAAGAACCUUACCUGGUCUUGACAUCCAUAGAAUUCUGCAGAGAUGUGGGAGUGCCUUCGGGAACUAUGAGACAGGUGCUGCAUGGCUGUCGUCAGCUCGUGUUGUGAAAUGUUGGGUUAAGUCCCGCAACGAGCGCAACCCUUAUUCUUUGUUGCCAGCGAUUUGGUCGGGAACUCAAAGGAGACUGCCGUUGAUAAAGCGGAGGAAGGUGGGGACGACGUCAAGUCAUCAUGGCCCUUACGACCAGGGCUACACACGUGCUACAAUGGCGUAUACAAAGGGAAGCGAAGGUGCGAGCUGGAGCGGAUCUCAUAAAGUACGUCUAAGUUCGGAUUGGAGUCUGCAACUCGACUCCAUGAAGUCGGAAUCGCUAGUAAUCGUAGAUCAGAAUGCUACGGUGAAUACGUUCCCGGGCCUUGUACACACCGCCCGUCACACCAUGGGAGUGGGUUGCACCAGAAGUAGAUAGCUUAACCGCGAGGGGGGCGUUUACCACGGUGUGAUUCAUGACUGGGGUGAAGUCGUAACAAGGUAACCA